rnacentral:rRNA from 1 species
CUUUUGCUGGCGACCGGCGCACGGGUGAGUAACACGUAUCCAACCUGCCCUUUACUCGGGGAUAGCCUUUCGAAAGAAAGAUUAAUACCCGAUAGCAUAAUGAUUCCGCAUGGUUUCAUUAUUAAAGGAUUCCGGUAAAGGAUGGGGAUGCGUUCCAUUAGGUUGUUGGUGAGGUAACGGCUCACCAAGCCUUUGAUGGAUAGGGGUUCUGAGAGGAAGGUCCCCCACAUUGGAACUGAGACACGGUCCAA